rnacentral:rRNA from 1 species
GACGAAGGAUGCAAGCGUUAUCCGGCUUCAUUGGGUUUAAAGGGAGCGUAGGUGGCCUUAUAAGUCAGUGGUGAAAUCUCCUCGCUUAACGAGGAAAUUGCCAUUGAUACUGUAGGGCUUGAGUACAGUUGCUGUGGGCGGAGUAUGACAUGUAGUGGGGAAAUACAUAGAGAUGGCAUAGAACACCGAUUGCGAAGGCAGCUCACAAAGCUGUAACUGACACUGAGGCUCGAAAGUGCGGGGAUCAAACAGG